GAAUAGAGAGUUAAAUAGUACGUGAAACCGCUUAGGGGUUAAGCCCGAUGAACCCGAAUAUCUGAUGUGAGAAAUUCAAUACUGUUCAUUCAACGGAUAGUAUGCACUUUUCUCAUAGUAGGACAUUGUAAUCCAUUGAUGUUAUAUCUCUUUCAUUUAUACGGGAGAGAUGAUUUAACAUACGGACAAGAUGUAUAUGUUUAUUCUAUCAGUGAUGUGUUUACAUGUCAUAUGAAUAAGAUCGUUUUGUACCUGUUUAAAUAGUCGAUGGAUUUUAUAUUGAAUCAUGCUUGCAAUUUAUUUUGCGUUUCGUAUUAUUGACCUGUAAAAGGGUUGGUAGUAGCAGAAAUCGCAUGCAUUCGAUUAACAAUGCGAUAGAUUUGGGAUGCCUUCGGGACCCGUCUUG
rnacentral:rRNA from 1 species